UGGGGAAUAUUGCACAAUGGGCGCAAGCCUGAUGCAGCCAUGCCGCGUGUGUGAAGAAGGCCUUCGGGUUGUAAAGCACUUUCAGCGAGGAGGAAGGUGGUGAGCUUAAUACGCUCAUCAAUUGACGUUACUCGCAGAAGAAGCACCGGCUAACUCCGUGCCAGCAGCCGCGGUAAUACGGAGGGUGCAAGCGUUAAUCGGAAUUACUGGGCGUAAAGCGCACGCAGGCGGUUUGUUAAGUCAGNUGUGAAAUCCCCGGGCUCAACCUGGGAACUGCAUUUGAAACUGGCAAGCUAGAGUCUCGUAGAGGGGGGUAGAAUUCCAGGUGUAGCGGUGAAAUGCGUAGAGAUCUGGAGGAAUACCGGUGGCGAAGGCGGCCCCCCUGGACGAAGACUGACGCUCAGGUGCGAAAAGCGUGGGGCAGCAAACAGGAUUAGAUACCCUGGUAGUCCACGCUGUAAAACGAUGUCGAUUUUGGAGGUUGUGCCCCUUGAGGCGUGGNUUCCGGAGCUAACGCGUUAAA
rnacentral:rRNA from 1 species